rnacentral:tRNA from 1 species
GGGCGGGUAGCUCAGCCGGUUAGAGCACGGGGCUCAUAACCCCAGGGUCGCAGGUUCGAAUCCUGCCCCGCCCA